GUGCUUUCUUCAGCAGUGCAUGUACUAUAAUUGGAAUGAUGUAGAGCAGAUUAGCAUGGCACUCCUGCACAAGGAUGACACUCAAAUUUGUGAAGUUUUCCAUGUUAAA
ensembl:snRNA U6 U6 spliceosomal RNA